GUGCUUGCUUCAGCAGCACAUGUACUAAAAUGGAAACGAUACAGAGAUUAGCAUGGCCCCUAUACAAGGAUGACAUGCAAAUACAUGAAGCGUUCCAUAUUUUU